rnacentral:rRNA from 1 species
GACGAACGCUGGCGGCGUGCUUAACACAUGCAAGUCGAACGGAAAGGCCCUGCUUUUGUGGGGUGCUCGAGUGGCGAACGGGUGAGUAACACGUGAGUAACCUGCCCUUGACUUUGGGAUAACUUCAGGAAACUGGGGCUAAUACCGGAUAGGAGCUCCUGCUGCAUGGUGGGGGUUGGAAAGUUUCGGCGGUUGGGGAUGGACUCGCGGCUUAUCAGCUUGUUGGUGGGGUAGUGGCUUACCAAGGCUUUGACGGGUAGCCGGCCUGAGAGGGUGACCGGCCACAUUGGGACUGAGAUACGGCCCAGACUGCUACGGGAGGCAGCAGUGGGGAAUAUUGCACAAUGGGCGGAAGCCUGAUGCAGCAACUCCGCGUGCGGGAUGACGGCCUUCGGGUUGUAAACCGCUUUCGCCUGUGACGAAGCGUGAGUGACGGUAAUGGGUAAAGAAGCACCGGCUAACUACGUG